rnacentral:lncRNA from 1 species
CUCUCGGCCUUAGCGCCAUUUUUUUGGAAACCUCUGUGCCAUGAGAGCCAAGUGGAGGAAGAAGCGAAUGCGCAGGCUGAAGCGCAAAAGAAGAAAGAUGAGGCAGAGGUCCAAGUAAACCGCUAGCUUGUUGCACCGUGGAGGCCACAGGAGCAGAAACAUGGAAUGCCAGACGCUGGGGAUGCUGGUACAAGUUGUGGGACUGCAUGCUACUGUCUAGAACUUGUCUCAAUGGAUCUAGAACUUCAUCGCCCUCUGAUCGCCGAUCACCUCUGAGACCCACCUUGCUCAUAAACAAAAUGCCCAUGUUGGUCCUCUGCCCUGGACCUGUGACAUUCUGGACUAUUUCUGUGUUUAUUUGUGGCCGAGUGUAACAACCAUAUAAUAAAUCACCUCUUCCGCUGUUUUAGCUGAAGAAUUAAAAAAAAAAAAAGAAAA